rnacentral:rRNA from 1 species
GAUGAACGCUGGCGGCGUGCUUAACACUUGCAAGUCGAACGGAAAGGCCCAAGCUUGCUUGGGUACUCGAGUGGCGAACGGGUGAGUAACACGUGGGUGAUCUGCCCUGCACUUCGGGAUAAGCCUGGGAAACUGGGUCUAAUACCGGAUAGGACCACUUCUUGGAUGUUGUGGUGGAAAGUUUUUUCGGUGUGGGAUGAGCUCGCGGCCUAUCAGCUUGUUGGUGGGGUAAUGGCCUACCAAGGCGUCGACGGGUAGCCGGCCUGAGAGGGUGUACGGCCACAUUGGGACUGAGAUACGGCCCAGACUCCUACGGGAGGCAGCAGUGGGGAAUAUUGCACAAUGGGCGCAAGCCUGAUGCAGCGACGCCGCGUGGGGGAUGACGGCCUUCGGGUUGUAAACUCCUUUCGCUAGGGACGAAGCGUUUUUGUGACGGUACCUGGAGAAGAAGCACCGGCUAACUACGUG